AGCAAUCAGUUGUGAGUUGCACCUUCUUUGGCAUGAGGGGUUGAGAAACUAGAGAAUGGGAAGACUGGACGGCGAUCUGUCACUAUUUUGGGCAUUGGAAGUUAAGAAAUAUUGUCUCUGCAGCCAAAACCAAGAUGAGUUGAAGUGAUAUCCUGGACAACUUGGAAAUAUUCCCCUUUCCAUCCAUGGAGCUGAGUAGCAGAGAAAAUGGCCAGGACUGAGGAGACCUGAAUAAGGUUUACACAACUUACCCCUCUGUUCCGAGAAGACUGUGGGGACAGAAGGGUGAAAUGGAGCAGAAAGCCAGCGGAGGUCAGAUGGGUCACAUGGCUGGAGUAAAGAGCAGUCAUCCACAGGUGCCAUAAGGCGGGAGGUAGAAAUGCCAUGACGAUGAGCAAGUGUAUGGUGGAGAAGUGGAAGAGAAUGAUGAAUUGAAUGGCGUGUGUGCUGUGGUCAGAGGCAGUUCUGAAGAAGUGAAGGCCAUGAGAAAUGGGCUGACUGGCGACCCGCUUGCCACCUGGGUGAAUCUGGGCCUGGGGCCAUGUCUGGGUCCGUGUUUCUACCGCAGCUGGGGUCUAUGUUGAUGUUCUCCAUCCAUGUUGCCUCCAACGCCUUGGAAUGCCUGGGGUAUGGGCCACCACCUCUGGCUGUCUUGGUGUCCCAGGGCCUCACUGCUGGGGUCAUGUUGAUCUGAAUGGCCUGUGCUGCCACCCAGGGCAGUGGUGACAUCAGAACCCCUGCUAAGGUGUGAGGUCAUGUCUGGGUCUGUGACCCUACAUCAGCCAAAGGGAGUGGUCUUGAGGAACAAUAGCCAGAAGAUCUCCAUCACUUGGGGAAACAGCAGGAUAUCCAAGAGGAGUUAUAGUGAAGGUCCAGUGAUGGUGUGCCAGAGGCCUUGAAGGAGACCAUUGAUUCAUUGCAAUGAACAUUUUGCUGGUGGGGAUGACUGGACAAAAAGGCCUACCGUGGGACACACCAUGGCUCCUGAUGCCACUAGGAUGAAUGAGGAGGUGUUGGAAAGACAGAGGA